rnacentral:rRNA from 1 species
AGAGUUUGAUCCUGGCUCAGGAUGAACGCUGGCGGCGUGCCUAAUACAUGCAAGUCGAACGAAGUUUCGAGGAAGCUUGCUUCCAAAGAGACUUAGUGGCGAACGGGUGAGUAACACGUAGGUAACCUGCCCAUGUGUCCGGGAUAACUGCUGGAAACGGUAGCUAAAACCGGAUAGGUAUACAGAGCGCAUGCUCAGUAUAUUAAAGCGCCCAUCAAGGCGUGAACAUGGAUGGACCUGCGGCGCAUUAGCUAGUUGGUGAGGUAACGGCCCACCAAGGCGAUGAUGCGUAGCCGGCCUGAGAGGGUAAACGGCCACAUUGGGACUGAGACACGGCCCAAACUCCUACGGGAGGCAGCAGUAGGGAAUUUUCGUCAAUGGGGGAAACCCUGAACGAGCAAUGCCGCGUGAGUGAAGAAGGUCUUCGGAUCGUAAAGCUCUGUUGUAAGUGAAGAACGGCUCAUAGAGGAAAUGCUAUGGGAGUGACGGUAGCUUACCAGAAAGCCACGGCUAACUACGUGCCAGCAGCCGCGGUAAUACGUAGGUGGCAAGCGUUAUCCGGAAUCAUUGGGCGUAAAGGGUGCGUAGGUGGCGUACUAAGUCUGUAGUAAAAGGCAAUGGCUCAACCAUUGUAAGCUAUGGAAACUGGUAUGCUGGAGUGCAGAAGAGGGCGAUGGAAUUCCAUGUGUAGCGGUAAAAUGCGUAGAUAUAUGGAGGAACACCAGUGGCGAAGGCGGUCGCCUGGUCUGUAACUGACACUGAGGCACGAAAGCGUGGGGAGCAAAUAGGAUUAGAUACCCUAGUAGUCCACGCCGUAAACGAUGAGAACUAAGUGUUGGAGGAAUUCAGUGCUGCAGUUAACGCAAUAAGUUCUCCGCCUGGGGAGUAUGCACGCAAGUGUGAAACUCAAAGGAAUUGACGGGGGCCCGCACAAGCGGUGGAGUAUGUG